rnacentral:rRNA from 1 species
GGUUAAGUUAGAAAGGGCGCACGGUGGAUGCCUUGGCACUAGGAGCCGAUGAAGGACGGGACUAACACCGAUAUGCUUCGGGGAGCUGUAAGUAAGCUUUGAUCCGGAGAUUUCCGAAUGGGGGAACCCACUGCUCGUAAUGGAGCAGUAUCUUUACCUGAAUACAUAGGGUACUGAAGGCAGACCCGGGGAACUGAAACAUCUAAGUACCCGGAGGAAGAGAAAGCAAACGCGAUUCCCUAAGUAGCGGCGAGCGAAACGGGAACAGCCCAAACCGAAAGGCUUGCCUUUCGGGGUUGUAGGACACUCAACAUGGAGUUACAAAGGAACGGGGUAGAUGAAGCGACCUGGAAAGGUCAGCCAUAGAAGGUAAAAGCCCUGUAGUUGAAACUUCGUUCCCUCCUGAGUGGAUCCUGAGUACGGCCGGACACGUGAAAUCCGGUCGGAAGCAGGGAGGACCAUCUCCCAAGGCUAAAUACUCCCUAGUGACCGAUAGUGAACCAGUACCGUGAGGGAAAGGUGAAAAGCACCCCGGAAGGGGAGUGAAAGAGAUCCUGAAACCGUGUGCCUACAAGUAGUUAGAGCCCGUUAAUGGGUGAUAGCGUGCCUUUUGUAGAAUGAACCGGCGAGUUACGAUUACAUGCAAGGUUAAGUUGAAGAGACGGAGCCGCAGCGAAAGCGAGUCUGAAUAGGGCGUUUGAGUAUGUGGUCGUAGACCCGAAACCAGGUGAUCUACCCAUGUCCAGGGUGAAGUCCAGGUAACACUGGAUGGAGGCCCGAACCCACGCACGUUGAAAAGUGCGGGGAUGAGGUGUGGGUAGCGGAGAAAUUCCAAUCGAACUUGGAGAUAGCUGGUUCUCUCCGAAAUAGCUUUAGGGCUAGCCUCACGUUGUUAGAGUCUUGGAGGUAGAGCACUGUUUGGACUAGGGGCCCUCAUCGGGUUACCGAAUUCAGACAAACUCCGAAUGCCAAAGACUUAUCCGU